ensembl:lncRNA
ACCUCCUUUGGAGCGUUGGGUGAGCUCUGAACCUCAGAAAGGGAACAACAGCUGUGGCACUAUAAUGGAAGGCAGACAUGCCCAGACUUGCACCAUGUUUUAACUGGUGAUAUGGAAGUGAGGUGCUGCAUUCUGAUGCCUUGAAUCUAUUAAGUGACUUGCUAAGCUGCUGUUUAUCAAUUCAAUUACUAAUGUCUUUUGGGUACAAGGAUGAAGUUUCACUUACAUCACAUAACUACCAUAUCGGUUCUAUAAACGUCAAAGCUCUUAUGCUGUUAUACCUGUGGAAUGCAAGAAAUAGUGUUUAACUGAAAAAAGAGUGAAACAGUCACUGACGUGUCCAAUCUUAAGAUAUGAAGGGACCGUCCAGAGUAAUCAGUAGUGACCUUCAGACAGCGUAGAUGGCGCUACCUGGCACAGCUGCAUCAUGUAACUCCCUUCCUCAAAACAAGCCUCAAGAGAACAGCAGACCCCAGUCUCACUCCAGGUUCACUUGCUGAGUGACUGAUCUGGUCUUGCUAGACAGCAGAAGCCUGCGUAGCCUGUUAGCCUGUGCCUAAGAAAAGGCAUCAUUAGCUGAUUUUCAUUCCAGAUCCAAAGCAAACAAAGCAAGAGCUGAAAACAAGCAAAAAUAUAUCAAGCAGACAAAAAGACUGCAGUGGGAAAUGGAAGACAACUAGGAACAGUGAUAAUACUGUUGUCUCGUGCUUUUGUUACAUGAGCAAUUUGGGGAUGCACUGCACAGUUCAGAAAUAUUUCACAUUGCUGGGUAUAUGUCACAGUCACUACUUCACAAAUAUGUGGAUCCUUUCCCACGGAAGCUUUUUUAAUUUUCAUUGCAACAAUUCUAGAUCAAAUGGUUUCCAUUUCAACGGUUCAAAGAAAAUCGCGCUAUCCAGAAACAAUAUUAACUUCCAUGGUUGCUCUGAUGGGGAUUAGUGAAGCGCAGUCAUUGUCAUUUAUCAGUAGGCAAUCUUAAUCUCUGUAGUCAUCUGAUUGGUCUCAUUCUGUGUUAACUCAGCCUGACAUAGACUAUUUACAAAACUAAGUAUAAAGCUGAGUAAUCUGGGACAGUGGUUAAAACGACACUUAGAUGCUGGAAUUAAACAGCAAAUACCUUUCUUUGGUUAAGUUUAUCUGGUAUAAAACUGAUAUAACUAACUUAUUUUGAAUGUUUCCCUAUGGUUUUGUGCAUUGUGUCGGCAGUCACUGAAUCUGAGGCUGUGGUAUAAAAAUAAACUCUCCUCAU